CCUACGGGAGGCAGCAGUGGGGAAUAUUGCACAAUGGGGGAAACCCUGAUGCAGCGACGCCGCGUGAGUGAAGAAGUAAUUCGUUAUGUAAAGCUCUAUCAGCAGGGAAGAAAAUGACGGUAGCUGAGUAAGAAGCCCCGGCUAACUACGUGCCAGCAGCCGCGGUAAUACGUAGGGGGCAAGCGUUAACCGGAUGUACUGGGUGUAAAGGGAGCGUAGGCGGGAGUGCAAGUCUGGAGUGAAAGGCGGGGGCUCAACCGGCGGAUUGCUCUUGAAACUGUACGGCUGGAGUGCGUGAGGGGUAAGUGGAAUUCCGAGUGGAGGAGUGAAAUGCGUAGAUAUUAGGAGGAACAGCAGUGGCGAAGGCGACUAUCUGG
rnacentral:rRNA from 1 species